rnacentral:rRNA from 1 species
UACAGAGGUCUCAAGCGUUAGGCGGAAUCACUGGGCUUAAAGCGUGUGUAGGCGGAUCGGUAAGUACCUUGUGAAAUCCCACAGCUUAACUGUGGAACUGCUUGGUAUACUGCCAGUCUUGAGCCAGCUAGGGGCUACCGGAACAAAUGGUGGAGCAGUGAAAUGCGUAGAUAUCAGGAGGAAUACCGAUGGCGAAGGCAGGUCUCUGGGCUGACACUGACGCUCAUGCACGAAAGCGUGGGGAGCAAACAGG